UUUUAUGAGAGUUUGAUCCUGGCUCAGGACGAACGCUGGCGGCGUGCCUAAUACAUGCAAGUCGUACGCUUCUUUUUCCACCGGAGCUUGCUCCACCGGAAAAAGAGGAGUGGCGAACGGGUGAGUAACACGUGGGUAACCUGCCCAUCAGAAGGGGAUAACACUUGGAAACAGGUGCUAAUACCGUAUAACAAUCGAAACCGCAUGGUUUUGAUUUGAAAGGCGCUUUCGGGUGUCRCUGAUGGAUGGACCCGCGGUGCAUUAGCUAGUUGGUGAGGUAACGGCUCACCAAGGCCACGAUGCAUAGUCGACCUGAGAGGGUGAUCGGCCACAUUGGGACUGAGACACGGCCCAAACUCCUACGGGAGGCAGCAGUAGGGAAUCUUCGGCAAUGGACGAAAGUCUGACCGAGCAACGCCGCGUGAGUGAAGAAGGUUUUCGGAUCGUAAAACUCUGUUGUUAGAGAAGAAYAAGGAUGAGAGUAACUGUUCAUCCCUUGACGGUAUCUAACCAGAAAGCCACGGCUAACUACGUGCCAGCAGCCGCGGUAAUACGUAGGUGGCAAGCGUUGUCCGGAUUUAUUGGGCGUAAAGCGAGCGCAGGCGGUUUCUUAAGUCUGAUGUGAAAGCCCCCGGCUCAACCGGGGAGGGUCAUUGGAAACUGGGAGACUUGAG
rnacentral:rRNA from 1 species